AAUCCCUGGGGUUCACAUGUCCUCAUCCACCACUUUGUGUUAUUAUUUUCAUGAAUGCAGACAAAACGGAUGAUGAGUCAUAAAAUAGAGGAGAUGGAAACGGGGUUUGAAGUGCAUGAGGAGCUGAGAGAAGCCAGCAACCAGAUCAGCCAAGCUUAUCAGGACAAAGCUAUUUUUUCCACACAUGUGCUGAAGUUGGAAAAUGAUGUCAAAUAACUAAAAACCAAGCUGAGAGAAGCUCUGUGUGCCAACGAUCACCUGAUCCAGGAGAGGGAGGAGCGCCUUCACAGAGCCCAGAACCUGGAGGAGCCACUGGAGAAAACCAUAAGAAACUCACCUGGCCCAGAGACCCCAAAAAAUCACAACUCUGAAUGGAAAAGGGAGGACUUGGACGUUCUC